rnacentral:rRNA from 1 species
GCUUAACACAUGCAAGUCGAGCGGUAAGGCCCUUCGGGGUACACGAGCGGCGAACGGGUGAGUAACACGUGGGUGAUCUACCCUGUACUUCGGGAUAAGCCUGGGAAACUGGGUCUAAUACCGGAUAUGACCUUCCGAUGCAUGUCGGUGGGUGGAAAGAUUUAUCGGUACAGGAUGGGCCCGCGGCCUAUCAGCUUGUUGGUGGGGUAAUGGCCUACCAAGGCGACGACGGGUAGCCGGCCUGAGAGGGCGACCGGCCACACUGGGACUGAGACACGGCCCAAACUCCUACGGGAGGCAGCAGUGGGGAAUAUUGCACAAUGGGCGAAAGCCUGAUGCAGCGACGCCGCGUGAGGGAUGACGGCCUUCGGGUUGUAAACCUCUUUCGACAGGGACGAAGCGCAAGUGACGGUACCUGUAGAAGAAGCACCGGCCAACUACGUGCCAGCAGCCGCGGUAAUACGUAGGGUGCGAGCGUUGUCCGGAAUUACUGGGCGUAAAGAGCUUGUAGGCGGUUUGUCGCGUCGUCCGUGAAAACUUGGGGCUCAACCCCAAGCUUGCGGGCGAUACGGGCAGACUUGAGUACUGCAGGGGAGACUGGAAUUC